CUUCAGCUCCGUAUGGAUAUCCAUAAAGGUUAGACACGUGUGCGGCUUUAACAGAACUUACAAACAUCUUCGGAUAUAGAUUUGGGAGGAGUUUAGCACUACAAGUAGAUGAUAUGAUUAUUAGUUUUAUUUUUAUUUUGAAAUCAGAUGCAUGAUCUAUUGAAAAUUAUGUUCUAAAGUCAAUCGUCAGUUUGUUGAUGGUUAUGC
rnacentral:lncRNA from 1 species